CCUCUAUUAUUUAUUCUGUAAAGUAUGGGAACUGAACCUCAAAAGAAGGUUUUUGUCAGUUUGACAAUGCAUAGUAAAAUAAUUGCCUUUUAAAUUCAUUCCUUAGAAGAAGCAAAAAGAAGAAAAGAAGUUCCAGAAAAGAAAGCUAUUCAUGAAGUUAAAACAAAAGGUACUACCUUAUUUUAAAAUGUGGCAGUUAAUUUACCCACUCUUCAGAGACCUCUGCCUAUUAUAAUUCCUAAAGAAAUAGAAAUAAAAAUAAUUUAUGGUUCGUGUCUUAGAAGCAGAAGAAAGAAAAAAGGUAACUCACAAGAAGAAAAUUAUUCCUGAAAUUAAAGGGAAAGCUUUGGAACAGGAAAAGAAGGUAACCCAAGAGAAGAAAGCUAUUUCUGAAACAAAAAUUAAAGGGGGAAAAGAAGAAAGAAAGAAAGCUCUUGAGAAAACAGCUGUCCCUGAAGUUAAAAAGGCAGAACCAGAAAAAGCUCCUGCAGCCCAUCCAGCUUCUGUGAAGGUAGCUGUGCGAGAACCAUUCAAGAAAGAAAAGCCAGUCGAAAGAGCCAAGCAGCCAGUGAAGGAUGUGCCUGUAAAAGCAUCAGUUACACAAGAAACUCAUAAACCAAAAGCAGUACAUGAAAAGAAAGAAGACAGAUUAUUAAAGGCAGUGGAGCAAGACAAACCAAAAUCCAAAGAAACAAAAGAUAUCAGAGGGAAAGAAGCAAAACAUGUGGCACCAAAAGUCAAAGAUGUUGCAAAAGAAAAAGUGAAGUCUCCUACUACUGUGAAAGAAAAAGAGGCAGUAAAACCAAAGGAAGUAAAGCCUACCAUUCCCCAGAAGCAGAAAGCACCUGAAGUGAUAAAAGAAACCAAAGAUACUUCUCAUCGUGCCAUUGCAGGACAAGAGGUUCUUAAGCACGACAAAGGAGCUCCUCAAGGAAAGCCAGAAGAAAUCACAGUAGCAGAUAAGAAAAAAGCAGAAAAGCCUUUGAAGGAAAAAGACAGAAAAAUGGCAGCGGUGACUCAUUUGAAAGAAGAAAAAGCCAAGGUCCCAGCAGUAAAAGAAUCCCAUCACCAUCGUAACAUGACAACAGACAAGCUUUCAAAGGCUUCAAAAGCAACAGCUGCUGUCCGCUACUAUCAGUGUGUCUUUGUAAAUGGAUACAAUGACUACAAACCGCAACACCCUGUUACCCCUGCCCAGGACUACAAAGGAAAGGCCGGGCAGACAAAAAAUUCUGGGCACAAGAUCAAGACACUGAAACAAUAG
rnacentral:lncRNA from 1 species